rnacentral:ncRNA from 1 species
AUAGCAGCAUCGGCUUGCUCCUACCCGAAACCACGGCCAAGGGAACCGACUUGGGAUAAUCAGCGGGAAAAGAAGACCCUGUUGAGCUUGACUCCAGUCCGACUUUAUGAAAUGAGUUAGGAGGUGUAGCAUAAGUCAAAGCUUCGGUGAUCUUGAAAUACCACUACUCUUAAUGUAGUUUUACUUAUUCCGUGAGAUUGAAACUUGCAUCAUGUGAGUUUUUGAUUUAACGUUGCCUCUUUUGGCAGCUGAUCGGUGCGGAAGACAUAGUCAGGUGGGGAGUUUGGCUGGGGCGGUGCUAACGCAGGUGCUAACGUAAGCUCAAUGAAGACAGAAAUCUCAUGUGGCGGAUACAAAUUACAAAAAUUACAAAAACAUGGUCUCUCGAUCCUGUAGGUUUGAGAAAUAUUCAGCUGAGGUCAGGAAAGUUACCGGUAGGCCAGCAUCACUGGUGCGGAGGGCGUUCGUUUCGACAAGAUCUUGACUUGCAACUUUUUGUUGUUACAGGUUUUAGAAAGACGAUGAUAUUAAGAAUUGGAUAACAAUUGAGCGUUUUUUCGGAAUAUAUGCUGAUUCAAUAAUCUUACCCAUCAAGUAUUUGUUACAACAAGCCAAAAAAAGAUUUGUGUAGCUUAAUGUAGUCAUCAAGUGAGGGAUAAUAUUAUAAGUGAAUAGAAACAAUAAAUCUUUUAUUUGUGAUGUGUUCGAAUAUUUAUAUAUAUAUAU